UCACGUAUGAUUUCUAUUUACGUUACACACUAUACUUUGUCACAAUUGAACUAUAAUGGAGGUUUAGGCAAGGGGAAAUUGCUGCUUAUCUGGUGGUACUCUUUCUUUUUUGUUGUUGGUGCUUUUGUACUGAACUGGUCGGGUGAUGUAAAAAGGAUCUUCAAGGGUUGGAUUUUCAGCAAAGAAAAAGAAACUAGAUAGCUUUGUGCAUCAGAUGAGAAGGCUUUUCUCUCUGAAUAGCAUAGAGGGUUGGAUUAGUACUGAACCUAGAGCCGUCAAUAUGGGUUAGGCCCGACCCAGCCUGUAAUUUGAUGGAGUUGGGCUUCAGUUUUUGCAGCCCAUUUAAGAACAGGGCAUUUUAGCCCAGCCUAGAUAAUCCCGUGGCUCGUGGGGCUUGAGCAAUGUGAGUUGGGCUAGCCCAUGGGCCCGCCCGUAAGUCAAUUGCAUACAACUAUUUAGAUUGCUUAUUAGAAUUUUUAUUUGGUUCGAAGGAUAUCAUGUCAAAAGUUAUUUAAUUUCGCUAUUAGGAGUAUUUUUUGGGGUGUUGGAGACUUGAUUAAUAAGUAUUUAACACUAUGUAAUAUUGGCUGAUAAUAUUCAUGUUUAUUAACAUUCUAAAAUUAAAUUAUAAAAUAUUAUUUUUUAAAAAGUGGGUUGGCCCGUGAGGCCCACAGCCCACAGAGUAAUGGUGUGAGCUUGGUGUUUUUUAGCCAUCAUUUUGAUGGGCCAGCCCGUCUUGGCCCGUCAAACUCAAAGCCCGUGUGGGCCAGCCCUGAUUGGCUGGGUCGACCCGUAUUGACGGCUUUAACUAAACCUUUUAGAGAAAUUAAUUCAAUAGAUUAAAUAGAGUCCUUUUUAGACUAAUAUAAUCUCCAAGAGUCCUCUAAAUCUAUGAUUCAAUUCAAAUUAGUUGGAAUUUAGUUGACCAUGAAGUAUGAGAUAUAUGUCCUCACGUUUGAGGUAGUGGUGUGGGCUGUGUUCAUUCUAUCCUCCUCAGACCCCACUUUGUGGGGAAUAUAUGGGUAUGUUGUUGUUGUUGUUGUUGAAGUAUGAGAUAUGUGGGCAUGUGCUUUUGUGGUGGAGUCUCUUAAGUUGUUUAGUGAGAUAAAGGUUAUCAAGCCCAUUUUAUUUCUUUCUCUUUAUGAUGGUGAUUUUUGUAGCGUAACUUAUUAGUAUCUCUCUACGUGUUCCUAGCCUCAUGUUUAGCGUAACUCAUUAGUUAUCACGCAUUAAGCUAUGCAACCGCAUCAUUGAUGAGAAGCGCAAUUUAAGAGAAAAAAGACCUAAUAGAGCAUCCAAAACAGUAAAUCAUAAGUGAAAAAACCACAACUAUAUAAUCAAUAAUAAAGACGAUUUAUAUAAGCAAAAGUAUAAAUGAAACACCAAAAGUAAAACAGAGAAAAAAAAAAGCUGCCGAAAAAAUAAAAACAGAGCAGCAGAAAACUAAAAGUAAAACGGAGAAAAAGAAAGAGAAAGAGCAGGAAAAAAACAAAGCUGCAGUCAGGAAAAAAACAAAGCUGCAGUAAGAGUAAAAACUGAGUAGCAAGUAAAGAAGGAAGGAAGAAAAGCAGAAGUUUAAAAAAAAAAAAGAAGAAGAAAAGAAACAGUGAAACAGAGAAGGAGAAGAAGGAAGAAGAAAGAAGAAGGAAAAAAAAUUACUUUAAAGAAGAGAAGUCCCAGCAACAAUGAGGAUUGGACUUUGGAGAAGAAGAGAACAAGAAUGGAACAGCAAGUCGCAGCAGCCAAAAAACUGAAGAAGAAAAGUCGUGAUUGCUAAACCUACAAAAUCGCGUCUUUUUCUUUCAUUAAAUUCACCCAGUUUUUUUAAUUUAUUUAAAAUGGCCCAACAAUUUAAAUAAACACGAUGCGAGCGCAUCAGCCCACAUCACGCAUCAGAGGGUGAUGCACCCGCUUUUUGUAGAUUGCCUCGCAUCAAAAACCCAAAGCGAAAACACCCCGCAUCGCAUCGCAACGGCGCAUUAUGCGACGAUGCGACCACAUCCAAGAACACUGGGUGAAACUAAAAAAUUUCAGCACUAUUGAUAUGGCCAACAGUUCUAUUAUUAACUGGCCAUUGAAGUCAUUUCACUCAGUAAUCUUAUACCCUUAGUGAUUAAAAAUCUUGUCGCAGAAAUAAAUCUCCCGAAAACUGUCAACAAACCUUAGCAGCCUCUCAUACUAAGGUGCCUUUUCCACUUGGUUGAUAAGUACCUUUCGACAUCAUGAAUAUUAUACAAAGGUUUUUAUUUCUGGGUUUUCCACAUGGUGAUUUAAGGUGUCUUUUCCACUUUGUUGAGAAGUACUUCUCGACAUCAAUAAUAUGUUGCUUUAUAUUUCUGGGUUUUCCACAUGGUGAUUUAGGAUUCGUUUUUAACGGAAUUACUUUUCUACAGAUUGUGCAAAAACUUCUCAUUGCCGCUGUUGCUGAUGCUGAUGUUACUGUUCGGCAUUCAAUUUUUUCCUCGCUUUAUGCUGAUGGAGGAUUUGAUGAGUUUCUGGCUCAGGCUGAUAGUUUGACAGCUAUAUUUGCCACUUUAAAUGACGAGCGAUGAGAGAAGAAUGUCAAUGAAGUUAAUGAGUUAACUGAAGGCCCUGUUUGCCAGUAAUUGUAGAAGUGAAGACUCUAGAGCAACUAAAGGCCUUAUUUGAAUUACAUGUUCAUUUAGAUAUCCGAGUAAGUUGCAUCCUCUUCUAAUCUCUUUGUACAUUCUUUUCUCAGAGAGAACUGAACGUGUUUUGUCUAUUAACUCGUUAUGUUUGGGGACAUGGUAAAAAUUUGGUAUUAUUACAUUUAGG